ensembl:lncRNA
CUCGGUCCCUGGAGACACUAGCACUUGAAGCACUGAGCCACCAUGGAAGAAGUCUGACUACCUUGAGGCCUAAUGUUGAGGAGGCCACACAUAGGUCCUCUGGUCAACAGUCCCAGCUGAAUCUGUCCUUCAGCAUUGCCACCCAGGCGCCAGACAUGCAAGUAAAUAAGCACCUUAGGAGUGUAUCUUCCAACUCCAGCUGUUCCAGUCCCAGCCAUUCAAGUCAUCCCAGCUCUAAAUAUCACAGGACAGAGAAAACCCAACCCUGCUAUCCUCUGUCUGAAUUCCUGACCCACAGAAUUUCCUUUCCGACUCUACUGUCUGCCACACAGCACUUCUGACCAGCCAAGUACAUGCAAGCAAGCCUUGAGAGACCUCAGAGCAAAGCGGUUCAGAUGUGUGUCUGACGGCCAGGAGAAAGAUGGCGGCCAGAGUUCUACAUUUGGAAGUUAACAGCAGACCGGUUGAUUUAAAAUCUGUGAGAACAGAAGAAAAUGCCCAAUGAUUGUGCGGGUAGGAGAACCUAAAACAAACGUGGUGGACAGAAACGCUAAAGCAGCCGGCAGGGUAGGAAGGGGAGUAGGGGGAACUCACAAAAGGGCACCCAAAGAAGGGCCCAGUGUAGAAACCAUCGGUAACCUUUUCCCAAGAGGUUUUAGGGGAGAGUGGAGACAGAAUUCAGACUGCAGUGAGUUUUAAAGAGAAGUUGGACUGAAGACACAUAGAGCAGUGAUCAUUGAUAAUCCUUUUAAGGAGAUUGGCGGGGAAGGAAAAGCGUCCAGACAGGCUUGGCAGCCUUAAUUGCUCCCUCUCCACCCUUGGGCAAGGCUGCAUGCCCCCUAUAAAUGGAGUGUGGACUCUAGGUAUGCGGACCUUGAGAAAUCUCUUUGCUCUGGCUCCCAUCCAAUUUCCUGAAACUUUCGGCUCUAUCUUCCUAUCCCUUCCUUAACCCCCGUCUGUUUUUUCCCUCUCUGCCCAGUAUGUUUUGGAUUGACACUGUGUUUGACUGUCUCUUUGGUUCUCACCCUUUUUCCUGAGACACUGCCCUCAGUUCCUUUUUUAUUCUGUGUCCUGAGGCUCUAGUCCAGCCCCUCCCUAUCUGGGCACCCAGACCCCAACUCCUGGCCUCCCUGAGCCUCCUAGUUUGGAGCAGAAGUGGUUCAGAAGCAGAGAGAUAGAUGCAAGAUAGAGGAGGAUAGAGUCAAGGAAGGAGGUGUCAGUUGGUUGUACUCUCACAGAGACUGGUCAAAGGGAAAGAACCAGCGGGGUGGGGGUAAAUGCAGCAGUGGGGGGUAAAUGUAGGAGAGGGGAGGAAAAGCUGCAGGGGCAAGUUUCCUGAGUGAGUGGGAUGGGGUUAAGGAGAUAAGUGGAGGUCUUGACCAGAGGAGGGAAACCUUCAGCCUCUGAGAUAAUAGAGAAGGAGAAGACAAUGAGGGUGGGUGCAGUUACGCUUGUAGGAGGUAAGGGUUUCGCUGAGAGAGGUGUGGAGGUGGGCAACAGGUUUGAACUUGUGAAGAUUUGCAUGGUCGCUCAGGGAAAAGGAAGAGUAAACUAAGCAAGGAGCAGGAUUUUGAGUUUCACUGUGAGACCAGUGGAAGCUGGAGACGCAGCACUUGUAGUGGUGCCUGUUGUACCGUGUGUCAUUUUCUCCAGAAGAGUGUUAGCCCAUGAAGACAAUCUUUCAUGAGCCAGGCUGACCAUCAGUCCUGGGGAUUAAGGUCAGUAUUCCCUGGACGUGCCUUGGUUCCUGCCUAAGGGUCAGAUGCACUGUCCUUAGGACUCUGGAGGAAUCAAUGGAAGAACCUUAAUGUCCCUCCAACUCAUCUCUUGUCUUUAUGAAAGGAAGACAAUGCUCUGCAGGCAACACAGAUGAAUUUGACAGGAGAAUAGUAAACCAUGUGGUUUACUGCAUGCUGGUCCUGCCCUGAUUGAGCCCUAAUGAGACCGAGCCUGCUUGGGGGGAUCCCUGCUACAACUGGAAAUUCUCAUGGCUCUUGCGGCCCAUUUUCCAAUAGAGACUGAGCGUGUGGCCUUCCUUGUCUUUGCCACUCAGAACGGGGAGUAACCUGGGUAAGAACUAUGAGUGAUUCUGAGGCAGGCUGUGCUCCAUGGAUGAAGUUUGAUCCAGGUGGAGGGUACCACCUGGGCCAUUCACAAGCUCCAGCAGGGUCACGAUCUUGUCAACCACUUUGCAACUGGGCUCCAGAUCCUGGCCCCUGAGCUGGCUGGACAGCGCUGCUCUGGGUAUCAUUUCCAACAGCCUGGCUGGGCCCUCCACGAUGAACUGUCUGAGGUUGCUCAGGGGCUAAAGGCAUAGCUGCUGCUGUUCUCUGUAAUGGAGAACCACUCUGCACAAGAGAGCUCUGCCAGGGAACCCCUCCUCCACCACCAGGAAAUGACGUGUUCCCUCAGCUGGGAGGGAAGCCAGCUAGGACUGAAGGGAUCUCCCCUCCUUUCCUUGCCAGUCCUACCUUCCUGGGAACGUUCUGGCACCCCUAUGGCUACAGGGAGCCAAAGCUCCCUUGUAGCCCAGGCCCUUAAAGUCACAAGGUUCCAAAUGCAAACGACAAAAAAAUAUGAGCCAAACAUCCACACAUUCCCAAACAAAGUGCUAGACCACCUGUGCAGAGCCUGCUGACCUGGCCAUCACCCUUCUCUACCCUGUAGAAGAGUGAAGAGGAAGAAGCUGGCGGAGGACUGACGCAGAGACAGUGCGUGGUGUGACGUGCAUCCUGCCUCAUCCAUGUUGGCUGCGGAGUGGGGGUUUCCUCCUCACCAAGAGGAAGGGGCUUCAAGGGAACUCCCAGCUAGUUUGACACCUCCUCAUGGCUGGCUAACUAAUUUGUGGGGCCCAGUGCAAAAUGCAAACGUGGGGCCCCUUGUUCAAAAAGCAAGGAAAAAAAAUGGCAUUAAAAGUACCAAAUUAUUAAAAAAAUAAAUAAAAGUGGGCUGUACACUUGCUCCCAGAAACAAAUCCUGUUGAAACAGAUUUUUGGGCAAAAAUCAAGGCCGGGAUUCUUUAGGAAUUAAGACACCAGGCACCAUGGUAGGCGUUUUACAUGUUAUCUUGUUGAACCUUCAUGACAAUCCUCUUGUUUUUACAGUUGUCCAGGGUCACGCAGGUAGUCAGUGGUAGAGACAGGAUGUGGGCCCAGGUUUUACAUGCUCCAAAGUCUGGAUUCUUCCCAUUGUACUUCAGCGUCUCCCAUGCAAGAUGGCAAAGGGGAGAAUGCUGGCACUUUCUGAGCAUGUACUUGUGGCAGCUCUGUGCUUGAUGGAGUUGGUCCAGCUCUUUGAAGAUGAGCUUCUGCUUCUGAAGGACCCUCUUCCAGGCCCUUCGCAUAUGCACAUGAUCUCCACUGUUCACUGCAGCCUCUGACCACCAGGCAGAGGAGCUGGAAUGCUGGUGGAGAAAGGAACAGAAAUGUGUCUCAUUCUCUCAUGCAGUAUUUGUACGGUAUUUAAUUGAGCCCUCCUCCUUUGCACCCCUGAAUUCCCAGGGCAAUUGUGCCUGUCUCUCUCUUUCUUUUAACCUCCUCUUUGUCCCGGGCCAGCAAAAUUUAAUGAAAAGACAACUGAGA